GAUGAACGCUGGCGGCGUGCCUAAUACAUGCAAGUCGAGCGAACGGACGAGAAGCUUGCUUCUCUGAUGUUAGCGGCGGGCGGGUGAGUAACACGUGGAUAACCUACCUAUAAGACUGGGAUAACUUCGGGAAACCGGAGCUAAUACCGGAUAAUAUUUUGAACCGCAUGGUUCAAAAGUGAAAGGCGGUCUUGCUGUCACUUAUAGAUGGAUCCGCGCUGCAUUAGCUAGUUGGUAAGGUAACGGCUUACCAAGGCAACGAUGCAUAGCCGACCUGAGAGGGUGAUCGGCCACACUGGAACUGAGACACGGUCCAGACUCCUACGGGAGGCAGCAGUAGGGAAUCUUCCGCAAUGGGCGAAAGCCUGACGGAGCAACGCCGCGUGAGUGAUGAAGGUCUUCGGAUCGUAAAACUCUGUUAUUAGGGAAGAACAUAUGUGUAAGUAACUGUGCACAUCUUGACGGUACCUAAUCAGAAAGCCACGGCUAACUACGUG
rnacentral:rRNA from 1 species